GCCAAGGAGCGGCUAAGCCUGGUUAAAGGCGCGAGGCUCAGGACCUCGUCCCGUAGGGGUUCGUGGGUUCAAAUCCCACCCUCCGCA
rnacentral:tRNA from 1 species